CUGAUGGAUAGGAGCUCUCUCUGGCUGUCCCUGGGAGCAGCCACAGCCAUUCCCACUUCUCGCUGCUCCUUCCUCAGGGUUCCUGCAGCAUUUCUAGCAGAUUGCUGGUUGCUUGUCAGUUCCCAUGCGAAGCCCCCUUUCCCCUCUGGGGCUGUCUUCCAGACUACCCUCAGCUAGCUACACUUGGCAGCAACUUCACCUUAGCAGGAACUGGCUGGAGAAGUGUCUGCAUCACCCUGUGCAGGCUCAUGCAGGCUUGAUGCUUUUGGACCCCCACCCCUUUAAGCCCCCGACCUGUGUUGUGGGGUAUUAAUGUGUGGUCCUUGUAGAGCUAAGGAAAGCUUCUUUGGACCACUCUUCCUCUGAGCCUGGGUGUCUAGCAUGGGGGGGAGGGCAUUUUCUUGGGGGCAGUGAUGCCAUCUGGCAGAGUGAGCCAGGGCCUAGUGAAGCCUAUAUCCAACUUGACAUGGAUAGGUUGAAGCUCUGGACUCAGCUGGGAUUUGUCUCCCAAGGCAACCCUGUCGACCUGCCAAUGUUAUGCUGACACCUGCCUCACUGAGGACAAAUAUACAACUGGAAACACUUGCUGCCAUGCUUCCAAUCUCCACAGCUAACAACACAAAUUGGCUUGGAUCAUCACUUUAACCUUUCACCCGCUAAGGGAACUGACAGUUGGUGGCAAUGUCAGUUGGACUGUACCCCUCACCAUGGGAAUAUGCAGGUGCUGGAGGGCAUAUGGAGAGGAGGUGGUACAGCCCUCCGAACCUACACUCAACUUUAAGGGUCCUUGGGGUGGACUAAAGCCCUUAGAAAGUUCACUCUGUUUUUUUUUGUUUGUUUUUUCAUUUGGCACCAGUUCCCGGAGCAGUGCUGUCACUGAGAUGAGCACAUCUGGAUGACUGACUCUGUCCAUUAUGCAGUGCUGUGAGUUGGUUAACUUUAAACUCCAUGGGCCAUCUUGAGUCUCAUCCGAUCCAAGAAAGAGCAUCCUUCCUCAGAGACAUUUCAAUUGCAGGCUGCCAAGAAGUCUGUGCUCCAAAAUUGACCAAACUCUGUUUCUUGGAUUCAACCUCUAGCAAAGAAUUCUCCUUUGGCCUCUGUCUUUCUGAAGCAGAUGAACAGAAACUAGCCAACCAACAAAACAAAGUAUUUUAUGUUGACUUCAGCCUUCCUCAUACCGCCCAGGGUUGUGCUUGUGCUUACUUUGUUCCUGUGGGAAAUCUCACAGAUCUUACUCUCCAGGAGUGAGAAUCUUGGGGUAAUGGUAUCUCUAAAAUAAGGGAAAUGACUCCCUUGUCUUUCAUUUGGGGGCUCUGCCCUGUGAGGGAGUGUUAUGUGUCACAGAUAUCAUGUAUUGCCUUGUGUUUAUCCUGACUGGGGACAUGCUGCUAUGCUUACAACCUCUACCGCUAACAACACAGGUUGGCCUUGAUGAGCACUUCAACCUUUAACUCGAUAAGGGGACUGACUGGUGGAGGCAGUUGGGCUGUUCCACUCACCACUGGAAUGGGUAUGUGCGUGUGGAGUGGGCAUGGUGCAGCCAUCUCACUUUAGGCUUUCCUGACAGAAGGCUUGGGACCUGAGAGUGGGAUUCCUGUGAGGAUAUUGUCCUCAAAGAAACAGUUACAUAGGUAAAUAGUUUUGCCUUGUCCAUUUAAAUAUGGAUGUGCUGAUGCAACAUAACUUUAAUUUGGUGUUUCCUGAAUAUGCUUAAGUGUAUCUUCAUUUAGUGAUUUCUUAGAACGUUCAGGCUUGGUUCCCUAUUGUGGUGAAUAGCCCCUGGCUACUUUUAGACUCUAACUCAAUUCUACUUUUUAAUUUGUGUCUCUGCCUGAUGGAAACUGCUUUAUCUGAACUAACAGCAGGAACAUGGAAAAGGAUAGGAAGCAAAUCUACCAUGAUUGCUUUUGAAGCAUUCAACAGGCCAAUUUAAACACUAAAAAUAAGGGUUAAUAUGGUCACAGCUAAAAUCCAAUUUGUUUUACCCUUUGAUUAAUAGAUCCAUCAGACUACAUGUUGCAAUAAGAAUUGGAGAUUGUCACUUCCCCCUGCAGUGCAAUGCAAAGUGAGUUUAAAGCUUCGGUUUAAGUUUUGCACUGCAACUAGUAUCAGCUUAAAAACUCCAGCUUGGUUUGGAAGCCUUUAUGUAGAGCUUCAAAAUUAGAUAAGUGUUCAACAAGGUUAAUUUUAAGAAAAAGAAACUUCAGCAGUGUCUCUGUUAAAAUGUGAACUCAUAGUGUUUCAUUAAAGUCCUUUACUGGUAUAUUCUAUAAAUCCUGUCCAGUUCAAUACUGAUUUAGAUUUCAUUAAAUCUAGUAUGUGGUCUCCAUUGUCACAGGUUCCACUGCGAUAUCUCUUUUGAUUGUCUAGACAUUUAUAAAGCAUCCAAUUACCAUCAUAUAGAAGUGCUACUCAAUUCUAAAGAAUUUGCAUAUGAAAAAGGCCUUAAUUAUGUCAGAAGUCUGAUGUACAAUGAUAUCAUUGUAGCAUUUCUCCAUGUAUUGGCAUGUUUAUUUCCCCCAAUUUUGCCAUCUGUUUUCAGGAUGAAGGAUGUGGGUCCUUCAGGCAGUUUGAAGAAUGAACAUUUAUUGUGUGGCAAAUAAUUAACCUGUGAAAUUGCUGUCCUAAUACACAUGUGAAAAUUGAGUAGUCCAUGAUGUUUCAGGUUAUGAAAUUGAAAAUUGUUCUUCUUUGGAAGUAUACAGGACCCAUUCAGUUGAAGAGAUUAUGUAGUGGUGAACUGCAAGACAAUUCCCAUCAUCAGAUCUAAUAUUAUCCACUCUACAUGAGACACAAAUCACCAUCUGAUAUGCCACAUCAAUGCAAAACUAGUGAAAUCCUGUUAGAGUCAUAGAAUAUCAGGGUUGGAAAGGACCUCAGGAGGUCAUCUAGUCCAACCCUCUGCUCAAAGCAAUCCCCACACUAAAUGUACAUUUUGCACAUUGAGAGGUCUGAACAGUUCCAAUUCAUCUCAAUGGUUCUGAAGCAUAAUUAUGAUAUUUUAAAUGUCAAUAUUGUUAACUAUUGCCCUGUUGAUCAAAACUCCCAAGAAAUAAAAGGACCAAUCAUAUUUUGAAGAUCUAUACAAGGUACUGUGAGAAGCAUCUCAUUUUAGUGGCAUGAAUAUACAGAGUUAGUGGUAUUCUCCCAAGCUCUGCCCGCAAACCCAUCUUUUCCCCUUUGGACUCCUGUUAGAAAUGAUACUGAUCUAUGUGCUGUUUGUGGUGAUGGCCUUGAUGCCCCAGUUGAAAUAAUGAGUACUUACAAUGGGGACUGCUAGGCAGAAGUAAGUUUAUCUCCACUUCUGAGCAGAAAGAGGAGAAAAUUGGAUGGACACUCAAAUGUGUCCAUGGAUGGUCCUGAGACAUAACUUGUUGAAUUCUUCUCAGCUAUUUCACUGGACCCAAUUACAGAUUGGGCCGAAGGGUCGCACUUGUGGUCAAAGCUGUAUGUCAAUCUUUUGGUUGACACUGAUGCUGGCGCUCGCCUCCCCAGUUAGUGUGACUCAGAGGAUUUUUAGCAUAGUUGAGUUGUGGCAUCUGCACAAGGUUAAACCCCAGUCAUGUAGUGUAGCUUUCCCCCCUGAAGUUGAAUUUAUUUGUCCUUGGACACACAAUACAAAUAAUGAUGUGCUUCUUCCCACUUCCCCACCUAGGGAAUGAGCAAUACUCUUUCUCCGUACCCAGGGAUCUAUACAUGGUUGGAUGGGGUGGUGGUGGGGUGUUAAUCUUUGUGUUUUCUGUUGUUUUCCCCACAGGUUUUCAUUGACCUAUUGGGAAGCAUUAUUUAUGUUGUUAUCCUGAUCUGAAUCUUGAAUCCCCAAAUAUUUCACAUACCUGAGGUUGAAAACUAUAUCCUGACUAUGAAUACUUACUGUUUGACCCAUAUACCACUAAUGAAAUGUAUCUUUGCCAAAUGACAUUGUUAGAAGGGAAAAAGGACGGAAAGGCAAAAGGAGGAGAGUAUGUGUGUGUAUAUAAAGACAAGAGACCCUUAUGCUUUUUGUCUCCCUAGGUUCGGCCUCCCUGUCCAGCAUCUGUCAUCUGGUAGGAUCCCUUCCCCUGCAAAGAGGACCUGUCCAACCCUAAAUAAUGAGGAGUCAAUUAAUAAAAGUGAGGAAACUGUUGGAGAAAAUCCCUAACCCUUCUACCACUAGGAUGGAUAGAUGCCUGCAGGUGCACAGUGACAGAUCUUACCAAAAACAGGUAUCAGAUUUGCUUUCAUUUUCUUUUUGUCACUUGUCUCCUUUUCAUACUCUUUAGAAGGGAGCAAUUUUUAACAUCUUUUAAAGGAGAAAAUCUUAAAAACAAAACAAAACAACCUAGAAACAGGUGGUAAAUAGCAGAAAAUCCCCAAGGCAGAUGUCAGGCUCUGAAAAGUUUCUUUGUAAGUUCAUGGCAAAAAAACCUUUGGCUCAAGACAAGCAAUUGCCUCACAAAGGCAGGACAUGGGAAACGCCCUGCAAUAAAAUAAUAGAUUGAUGCCAACCCAACAACUCUGAAGAAUGAGUUAAUAACCAGCAGAGUGAUGGCCAGUAAAACCUAGUGAUCAUGGGUGGUGGUGUCAUAGGUUUGUUCCCCACUUUGAUAUUUAGCGUCCACAAGAUGGGGACCUGCAUGGACUCCUCUAAACUAAAAUCCU